GUGCACCAGGCGAGAAACCUCCGCAAUGCACGCAAGUGCGACGGGGGAACCCCAAGUGCCACUCUUAACGGGGUGGCUUUUCAGAAGUGUAAAAAGCUUCUGGAAUAAGGGCUGGGCAAGACCGGUGCCAGCCGCCGCGGUAACACCGGCAGCUCAAGUGGUAGCCGCUUUUAUUGGGCCUAAAGCGUCCGUAGCCGGUCUGAUAAGUCUCUGGUGAAAUCCCGCAGCUUAACUGUGGGAAUUGCUGGAGAUACUAUCAUGACUCGAGGUCGGGAGAGGCUGGAGGUACUCCCAGGGUAGGGGUGAAAUCCUGUAAUCCUGGGAGGACCACCUGUGGCGAAGGCGUCCAGCUGGAACGAACCUGACGGUGAGGGACGAAAGCCAGGGGCGCGAACCGGAUUAGAUACCCCCGUAGUCC
rnacentral:rRNA from 1 species